rnacentral:rRNA from 4 species
AAAUUGAAGAGUUUGAUCAUGGCUCAGAUUGAACGCUGGCGGCAGGCCUAACACAUGCAAGUCGAACGGUAGCACAGAGAGCUUGCUCUCGGGUGACGAGUGGCGGACGGGUGAGUAAUGUCUGGGAAACUGCCUGAUGGAGGGGGAUAACUACUGGAAACGGUGGCUAAUACCGCAUAACGUCGCAAGACC